rnacentral:rRNA from 1 species
UACGUAGGGUGCGAGCGUUAAUCGGAAUUACUGGGCGUAAAGCGUGCGCAGGCGGUUCGUUGUGUCGGUGGUGAAAUCCCCGGGCUUAACCUGGGAAUGGCCAUGGAAACUGGCGAACUGGAGUGCGGCAGAGGGGGGUGGAAUUCCGGGUGUAGCGGUGAAAUGCGUAGAUAUCCGGAGGAACACCGGUGGCGAAGGCGGCUUCCUGGACCGACACUGACGCUGAGGCGCGAAAGCUAGGGGAGCAAACGGG